rnacentral:rRNA from 1 species
AAUGAACGCUGGCGGCGUGCCUAACACAUGCAAGUCGAGCGUGAAAGCCCCUUCGGGGGCAAGUAAAGCGGCGGACGGGUGAGUAACGCGUGAGAAUCUGCCCUUUAGUGAAGAAUACCUUCGAGAAAUCGAAGUUAAUGCCGCAUACGUCCCUUCGGGGAGAAAGAUGGCCUCUUGCUGUCGCUAAAGGAUGAGCUUGCGUACUAUUAGCUUGCUGGUAGGGUAAAGGCCUACCAAGGCGAUGAUGGUUAGCCGACCUGAGAGGGUGAUCGGCCACACUGGAACUUAGACACGGUCCAGACUCCUACGGGAGGCAGCAGUGGGGAAUAUUGCGCAAUGGGCGAAAGCCUGACGCAGCAACGCCGCGUGAAGGAUGAAGGUCUUCGGAUUGUAAACUUCUGUUAAGUGGGAAGAAAAGUCCGUUUAUAAUACAGACGGGAAAUGACGGUACCAUUAGAGAAAGCACCGGCUAACUUCGUGCCAGCAGCCGCGGUAAUACGAGGGGUGCG